rnacentral:misc_RNA from 1 species
CGGGAACCUGGAAGUAGGAGCU